UCGGAACGUACCCAAGAGUGGGGGAUAACGUAGCGAAAGUUACGCUAAUACCGCAUACGAUCCAAGGAUGAAAGCAGGGGACCGCAAGGCCUUGUGCUCCUGGAGCGGCCGAUAUCUGAUUAGCUAGUUGGUAGGGUAAAGGCCUACCAAGGCAUCGAUCAGUAGCUGGUCUGAGAGGACGACCAGCCACACUGGAACUGAGACACGGUCCAGACUCCUACGGGAGGCAGCAGUGGGGAAUUUUGGACAAUGGGCGCAAGCCUGAUCCAGCAAUGCCGCGUGAGUGAAGAAGGCCUUCGGGUUGUAAAGCUCUUUUGUCAGGGAAGAAACGGGUGUGGCUAAUAUCUGCAUCUAAUGACGGUACCUGAAGAAUAAGCACCGGCUAACUACGUGCCAGCAGCCGCGGUAAUACGUAGGGUGCAAGCGUUAAUCGGAAUUACUGGGCGUAAAGCGUGCGCAGGCGGUUUUGUAAGUCUGUUGUGAAAUCCCCGGGCUUAACCUGGGAAUGGCAAUGGAGACUGCAAGGCUAGAGUUUGGCAGAGGGGGGUAGAAUUCCACGUGUAGCAGUGAAAUGCGUAGAGAUGUGGAGGAACACCGAUGGCGAAGGCAGCCCCCUGGGUCAAGACUGACGCUCAUGCACGAAAGCGUGGGGAGCAAACAGGAUUAGAUACCCUGGUAGUCCACGCCCUAAACGAUGUCUACUAGUUGUCGGGUCUUAAUUGACUUGGUAACGCAGCUAACGCGUGAAGUAGACCGCCUGGGGAGUACGGUCGCAAGAUUAAAACUCAAAGGAAUUGACGGGGACCCGCACAAGCGGUGGAUGAUGUGGAUUAACUCGAUGCAACGCGAAAAACCUUACCUACCCUUGACAUGGCAGGA
rnacentral:rRNA from 1 species